rnacentral:rRNA from 1 species
AAAUCUAGUGGCGGACCCGUCGUGGCCUCCUCUGCGAAGUAGUGAUAUUCCGCAUCGGAGAGCGACGAGCCCCUGCCGUUAAACCCCCAACUUUCCAAGGUUGACCUCAGAU